AUGCACCGGGCACGGACGCGGUGGUGGAGGAGCCGCAAGUUCCGGCUCGACGUCCACUGCGUCGUCCGCGGGCUCCAGUACCUCGUCCGCGUACAGGUUUGGAGUGGCCGGUCCGGCAAGAAUCCAGGCCGGGAGCGGCGCCGCCGCCGGCAUGGCCGGUUCGGGCGGAGCAUUAAAAGGCCCAGCACCAUCGCGACCUCGGACGCCAUGUCCAAGACGUGGUCCACGGCGACGGAAACCGUUCCGGCGGCCUCCGAACCGGCGCAGAGCACGGGCGUGGCGGUUGUGGCGGCGAAGUCCACCAACACCAUGGCGACGGCGACGGCCCUGUCAGCGUCUACCGCCGCUACGAACAAGGUGCAGGAAGAAGGACAGGAGACCACGAGGCAUCCUCUCACCUUUUCCUUUCUUCCCUUCUGGCUCUCUUUUCCGGCGACUGUCGCCGGCGUGAUUUGCCUAUGGGUGCUCUGGGCAGAGACAAGUGCUGAUAACGUGUGA
rnacentral:rRNA from 1 species